rnacentral:sRNA from 2 species
GCCAAUCUAUCUACCACUGCUAAUCUAUGCCGCUGCCAAUCUACCUACCGCUGCCAAUCUACCUACCGCUGCCAAUCUAUCUACCACUGCUAAUCUAUCACUUCUAAUCUAUCGCUGCUAAUCUAUUGCUGCUAAUCUAUCGCUGCUAAUCUAUUGCUGCUAAUCUAUCUAUCACUGCUAAUCUAUUGCUGCCAACCUACCUACCACUGCCAAUCUACCUACCGCUGCCAACCUACCUAUCGCUGCCAACCUACCUACCACUGCUAAUCUAUCGCUGUUAAUCUAUCGCUGCUAAUCUAUCGCUGCUAAUCUAUUGCUGCUAAUCUAUCGCUGCUAAUCUAUUGCUGCUAAUCUAUCGCUGCUAAUCUAUCGCUGCUAAUCUAUUGCUGCUAAUCUAUCUAUCACUGCUAAUCUAUCGCUGCUAAUCUAUCGCUGCCAAUCUAUAUAGGGUAAAUCAUGGUCCCAUUUGGUCCCAUUUUGUAAAAUGAGACCAAAUGGAACUGGGACCACUAAUUUAUUAGUAAAACAUGAUCUGAGACUAGAUUUAUAAUAUAAACAGUGUAAAGUGACUAAUUUACUAAACACUAUAUGGGAUCAGAACUAAGAUAUCUAAUAAUGGGACUGAGGAAAAAUUUGGUCCCAGUCCCAUGCAUGGUCACACAGCCAGUCUAAUUCUAAUCUUCACUGAUGAAUCACUCACUGAAUAUUAUAAAUAUAUACAAUAAAUACUUGACUGUUUAUAAGAAGCAGAACUAUAAGUGAAUAUUGAUAAGUAUAACUUCAAGAUUAAGUCUAUAAUCUAUCUAGAAUUUAUCAUCAAAGCUGAA